AGUGAACGCUGGCGGUAGGCCUAACACAUGCAAGUCGAACGGCAGCACAGUAAGAGCUUGCUCUUACGGGUGGCGAGUGGCGGACGGGUGAGGAAUACAUCGGAAUCUACUUUUUCGUGGGGGAUAACGUAGGGAAACUUACGCUAAUACCGCAUACGACCUACGGGUGAAAGCAGGGGAUCUUCGGACCUUGCGCGAUUGAAUGAGCCGAUGUCGGAUUAGCUAGUUGGCGGGGUAAAGGCCCACCAAGGCGACGAUCCGUAGCUGGUCUGAGAGGAUGGUCGGCCACACGGGAACUGAGCCACGGUCCAGACUCCUACGGGAGGCAGCAGUGGGGAAUAUUGGACAAUGGGCGCAAGCCUGAUCCAGCCAUACCGCGUGGGUGAAGAAGGCCUUCGGGUUGUAAAGCCCUUUUGUUGGGAAAGAAAAGCAGCAGGUUAAUACCCCGCUGUUCUGACGGUACCCAAAGAAUAAGCACCGGCUAACUUCGUG
rnacentral:rRNA from 1 species